UUAUGAACUCAAAUCAGGCAAGAGUACCCGCUGAAUUUAAGCAUAUUAAUAAGCGGAGGAAAAGAAACUAACAAGGAUUCCCCUAGUAACGGCGAGUGAAGCGGGAACAGCUCAAGCUUAAAAUCUACAUUUUGUAAAAAGAAUGUCGAGUUGUAGCUUUUGGAGGCACUAUUGAGUGGCUAAUCUUGGUAAAAGUUCUUUUGAAUAAGGCAUCAAAGAGGGUGAAAAUCCCGUAUUUGACCAGGAAUUAAUUAGUUGCGAUAUCAAGUGUUUUCUUUGAGUCGGGUUGUUUGGGAAUGCAGCCCUAAUUGGGAGGUAAAUUUCUUCCAAAGCUAAAUAUCAGCAAGAGACCGAUAGCAUACAAGUACCGUGAGGGAAAGAUGAAAAGCACUUUGAAAAGAGAGUGAAAAGUACGUGAAAUUGUUGGAAGGGAACCGGUUGAUGGCCAAGCUUUUUUGACCAGAAUUUAUUCUGGUUAAAGGGUCAACAUCGGUUGUUUAUGACUAGAAGGGAUUUUUACCAGUUGAUGUGGGAAAUGUAGGAAGUUUAGCCGGAAUUUAUUCCAGUUAGAUUUUUGUUAUAGACCCACGCAGAUUGGUUUCGAGCUCGAUAGUCGUGGCGACCGAGGAAUGCAGUGUGUUCUCGGCGAAUUGCUUAGAUGUAUUGUAGAAUUAUCUGGGCCUAGACAGCAUUGCUGACUAGAUCUGUUAUUUUAUAUAUAAGCUGGGUAAUUUGACCAAAAAACACUUUGGAUGUUGGCGAAAAGGCAUCAAUCGACCCGUCUUGAAACACGGACCAAGGAGUCCAACAUGCAUGCGAGUAUCUGGGAAUUUUAAACCCAUGUGCGUAAUGAAAGUGAAAAAUCAUUAGUAUGUAACCUACUCUUCGAGUGGGGCAACAUCAACCGACUUUAGAUAGCGCUGCUUGAAAAGGUUGAGUAAGAGCAUGUAUGCUGGGACCCGAAAGAUGGUGAACUAUGCCUGAAUAGGGUGAAGUCAGAGGAAACUCUGAUGGAAGCUCGUAGAGAUUCUGACGUGCAAAUCGAUCUCAGAAUUUGGGUAUAGGGGCGAAAGACUAAUCGAACCAUCUAGUAGCUGGUUCCUGC
rnacentral:rRNA from 1 species